AGCACACUCUCUAAUCGAGCUGUAACACUCGCCACUGCCGUCCACGGCUUCAUUCCUUGAAGCCGUGAGACCACGAACCCUUCGAUUGAGAAGAACCUUCGGUCGGAAGAAGACUUCUCGUCUCAGUAACAAUAACAAGAAAAACAGCCUAGACUAGACGCACAUCAGGAAGACAGACGUGACUUGCUCCUCCUUGCCUUCUGCCAUGAUUGUGAGGCUUCCCCAGCCAUGUGGAAAUGAACAACUAUGACCUAGGACCAGGGCCUUCAGGAAUCUUCACCCCUAACUUGAACUUCAUAACACUGGAGAGAGAGACUGUGGAAUGGAAUGACUCUCCAGAGCUGCAGAUUGAAGGCAUAUUUUCAUCUGACUUUGAUCUCAAUGGCGGGAACACCUUCAUGGCCCCUUUAUAGCUGGUAUGUUUUCUUCUUAUGGACAAUGAGAAACAUGUAAUAAACUGUGUUUCCUUCUCGCUAGGAAACCCU
rnacentral:lncRNA from 1 species